CUUACCAGCCCGGAUGAGCAGAUCCAGCUGGUUCGUGGGUCCCUCAUGCAGAGACGUCGCCAUGUUUAUCCCGGGGCUGGAGCUGCUGCUUCACAUUGACUUACACCGUGAGCAGCGGCGGCAGGGGAGGAGGCGGAACCCGCGGCCGGAGACACACGCCGUGCGGCCGACACACACUCACGCACUCGCACACACUCCGACGCCCGGAUCCUUGCGCGUCCUCCGACAGGAAGCCGAGGCCGGCCCGCCUCCCGCCGCCGGGCUGAGAAACCCCACCACCUAACGGCAGGGGCGGCGGCGGCGGCCGCCUCGGCUGGCAACGCGAUCCUUCCGCCCCGCGCCCAGACAGGAAGUCCCGGACGCCCGCCCCAGAGAGCGGACGCGGCCCGCGGCGCGCAGGACACCUGAGGCAGGGAGUCGUCCCGGGGGCCGCGGCUGGGACGAGGCCCCUCGGCAGGAAGACGCACGUUUCACGCUCUGCGGAAGAGAAGUCUGCAGUCGUCCCCACGCUAGAAGAGAGCCAUUAAUCAAAUUUUCUUUCUGGAAGAGCUCUAAUUGCCCAGUCCCGCAGCUGGGACGGAAAGGUGGCUAAUUAAUUAACUUGUUGGGCCGUGUCAAAGUGUAAGGCUGCGUGUAAGCCGUUCACUUGAAAGCGCUGCGCUGUAAAACAGGCAUACCAACCCCAAAAGUCAUACCUACGAAAUGUUACCAAGGCUUUAUGGGACAAAGUAAGGGGCUUCCAACCACUCUCAGGGACCGACUUCGCCCUCUUCCCUCUACAGAGUCAAUUUAAAAUAAGGACCAUCCACUGACCCGCAGCAUCAUAACCUGAGACGGUUUCCAGAUGAGGAAUCUUGACGAAGGUCAUAGUGUUCAGGAGAAGCAGAGCCAGGAUUUGAACCCACGAACUCUAACUCUAGAGCCCUUCCUCUCAAACACUCCCCAAGCACCAAAGUAACAAGGCCUGUGUAUCUGCUGUGAUGCAUUUAAUACCUACUGAUUUUCUUUUCUGAAAAUUCUUUUAUAUUCCUCCCUUCAAGAGGUGGAAUCUAAUUCCCCUCUCUCCCUUUGAGUGUAGGCUGAACUUAAUGACUCACUUCUAACAAAGAGAAUAGAGCUGAAGUGAUGGUGUGUGACUUCAGAAGCUGUCUGCUUGAUCUCUUGCUUUGGGUCACUCAGAGGAAGCCAACUGCCCAUUAGGCAAGGAACAGUGGCAUCCUGCCAACAGUCAUGCGACCGAACUCUCUACGACACAAACCCUCCAGCCCUAAUCAAGCCUUCAGAUGAUUCCAGCUUCGUGAAAGAUCCUGAGUUACGAGCCAUGCAAUCUGAGCAUCAAUUCUUUCAUCCUCCAGCCUCUCCGUUUUAAAAAUAAUAAACAGAAUCAUAAAAGGUUAUGGUUGAAGAGAUGCCUACAGACAACAUCACCUAGAGGUUUUCAAAAAAAUAAGGAAGGACCUGAACAUCAUCAUCUCUUUUCCUGACUACCAUGAAUUAAAUAUAUUAAACUUUAAAACCAAAUAUAUAACUGUGUGCUCUAUCAGAUACAAGUACCAAGGUCAACAGGCUUCAAAGUUUAAAAAAAAUUACAGGUAGGAAUCAAAGGGAGCAGACAUUCUACCCAUUUAAUGUUAUUUUCCUAUAGUUUGGGAGAAGGAUGCCAAUUUCCUAUUUUAGUAAUGACAACUCUUUAACCACCAAUGGUAGAGUUAUCUGAGAAUCACCGAUUUAAUCCAAUGCCCUAAUUUUACACAUCAGGAAACUGCGGCUCCAAGAAGUUAAAUAAUUUAACCAAA